rnacentral:rRNA from 1 species
AUUGAACGCUGGCGGCAUGCCUUACACAUGCAAGUCGAACGGCAGCACGGGAGCAAUCCUGGUGGCGAGUGGCGAACGGGUGAGUAAUAUAUCGGAACGUGCCCAGUCGUGGGGGAUAACGUAGCGAAAGCUACGCUAAUACCGCAUACGAUCUAUGGAUGAAAGCGGGGGAGUCGCAAGACCUCGCGCGAUUGGAGCGGCCGAUAUCAGAUUAGGUAGUUGGUGGGGUAAAAGCCUACCAAGCCUUCGAUCUGUAGCUGGUCUGAGAGGACGACCAGCCACACUGGAACUGAGACACGGUCCAGACUCCUACGGGAGGCAGCAGUGGGGAAUUUUGGACAAUGGGCGCAAGCCUGAUCCAGCAAUGCCGCGUGCAGGAUGAAGGCC